rnacentral:rRNA from 1 species
CCUACGGGAGGCUGCAGUAGGGAAUAUUGCUCAAUGGGGGAAACCCUGAAGCAGCAACGCCGCGUGGAGGAUGAAGGUUUUCGGAUUGUAAACUCCUUUUGUUAGAGAAGAUAAUGACGGUAUCUAACGAAUAAGCACCGGCUAACUCCGUGCCAGCAGCCGCGGUAAUACGGAGGGUGCAAGCGUUACUCGGAAUCACUGGGCGUAAAGAGCGCGUAGGCGGGAUAGCAAGUCAGAUGUGAAAUCCUAUGGCUUAACCAUAGAACUGCAUUUGAAACUGUUAUUCUAGAGUAUGGGAGAGGUAGUUGGAAUUCUGGGUGUAGGGGUAAAACCGGAAGAGAUCAGGAGGAAAAUUAAUGGCGAAGGGAACCU